rnacentral:rRNA from 1 species
UACGUAGGGUGCGAGCGUUGUCCGGAAUUACUGGGCGUAAAGAGCUCGUAGGUGGUUUGUCGCGUUGUCCGUGAAAACUCACAACUCAAUUGUGGGCGUGCGGGCGAUACGGGCAGACUGGAGUACUGCAGGGGAGACUGGAAUUCCUGGUGUAGCGGUGGAAUGCGUAGAUAUCUGGAGGAAUACCGGUGGCGAAGGCGGCAUCCUGGACCGGCAUUGACGCUGAGGAGCGAAAGCCAGGGGAGCAAACGGG